UACAGAGGGUGCGAGCGUUGUUCGGAAUUAUUGGGCGUAAAGGGCGCGUAGGCGGUGCGGUAAGUCACCUGUGAAAUCUCCUGGCUCAACUGGGAGCUUGCAGGCGAAACUGCCGUGCUGGAGUGUGGGAGAGGUGCGUGGAAUUCCUGGUGUAGCGGUGAAAUGCGUAGAUAUCAGGAGGAACACCUGUGGCGAAAGCGGCGUACUGGACCACAACUGACGCUGAGGCGCGAAAGCUAGGGGAGCAAACAGG
rnacentral:rRNA from 1 species